GCAUAUCAAUAAGCGGAGGAAAAGAAACCAACAGGGAUUGCCCUAGUAACGGCGAGUGAAGCGGCAACAGCUCAAAUUUGAAAUCUGGCCUCGGCCCGAGUUGUAAUUUGCAGAGGAAGCUUUAGGCGCGGCACCUUCUGAGUCCCCUGGAACGGGGCGCCAUAGAGGGUGAGAGCCCCGUAUAGUUGGAUGCCUAGCCUGUGUAAAGCUCCUUCGACGAGUCGAGUAGUUUGGGAAUGCUGCUCAAAAUGGGAGGUAAAUUUCUUCUAAAGCUAAAUACCGGCCAGAGACCGAUAGCGCACAAGUAGAGUGAUCGAAAGAUGAAAAGCACUUUGAAAAGAGGGUUAAAUAGCACGUGAAAUUGUUGAAAGGGAAGCGCUUGUGACCAGACUUGCGCCGGGCUGAUCAUCCGGUGUUCUCACCGGUGCACUCUGCCCGGCUCAGGCCAGCAUCGGUUCUCGCGGGGGGAUAAAGGCCCCGGGAACGUAGCUCCUUCGGGAGUGUUAUAGCCCGGGGUGUAAUGCCCUCGCGGGGACCGAGGUUCGCGCAUCUGCAAGGAUG
rnacentral:rRNA from 2 species